UAGUUUUGUCCUAAGUUAAACUUAUCUCACUUUGGACAAGUUUAUAGAAAAACUGUAUCAACAUCUACAAUAUCAAAUGGAUGCACUAUCGAAAUAUAUUUCACGGUGUCUCUGGUGAAUCUUAUUCGAUGUUGUAUGUUUGUGUAUUUUUUCUAUAAACUUGGUCAAAGCUUGAGAAGUUUGACUUUGGGCGAAGCUAA
rfam:Zea mays cultivar B73 chromosome 8, whole genome shotgun sequence.